UCACCUCCUGAUCCUAAGGAAACCUCAGCUGACGUAGAUCUACGUUCUCUUCGCGUGAACGCUCAGUCUGUAUUGGCUUGGGCCACAGAGCGUUCCGAAUCCCAGCCGCUAAAGACCCACAGAAGGCAAGAAGCUUGCAUUGCAAAGCUGCUGUCCCCCCUGACUGCGGAGAAAGAAGACUCGUUUAUGGUUGUUCUACAGCCGCUGCUGACGUCCAUCAGCUCUGUCCUGCUCCCAGCUGCAGAUAGGCCUGGAUUUCAAUGAGUCGUGUCCCAACUCCGGUGUGAACGAUUUCCCGACGUCAAGACGAAGUGGGGUCAAGUCAUGGGUGUUGCAAGGAAGCUGUCACAAGAUGAUCCGGUAUUGAACGGCUACAGCGCAACCAAGAGAACGAAAUGUACGUCGCAAUCAAGCUAUGUCGUUGCCAUCUUCUAUGUGCCAUGCGUUACCUGAUGUGCCAGCCUGCUAUGUCGGAUACCGCUAACCAUGCAUCGACUAGGCGCCAGGCGCGAACUGAUGGUGGUGGUGGUGGUGGUGAGAAGGAGAGCUCUGUGCCAGAAUAACUUUGCAGUUUAGAGAGCGUGUCUGGGCAGGCGUGUAUUUACCCCCAUAUUGCCAGGUGUGUAUUUACUACCAUAUGGACUAACCAUAAGUGCAGUUGCAGUGGAGUCUUCAACUUCAUUCUCCCGAGUCAAGCUCCUUGUGAAGACAUCUAAGAAGAAGAUUGCCUGAUGAGUCCAGCCGGGACGAAAGGUACGUCACAAUCAAGCUAUGUUGUUGCUGUGCCAUCUGCUAUGCGCCAUACGCUACCUGAUGUACCAGCCUGCUAUGUCGGACACCACUCACCCUGCAUCGACUAGGCGCCAGACGCGAACUGAUGAUGGUGGUGGUGGCGG